rnacentral:sRNA from 1 species
UACCUUUUUGCGCCAUUGGUUACCGGUAA